CAGGAAAGCAAGUGGAUUCAAAUUCCUCCACUUCUUAAAAUAUGCCUCGCAUGAGGGUGAUUACACCACCACAGAGAUGCUGGGUCUCUUCAUAGAGAUGAUAUAAUUGGCGUGGAGAGAGUAUCAAAUGCCAGGAGAGUCGGAAGCAAGCGAGAGAGAGACGGACUGCUGACCCAAGCUGGAAAUGGAAACCGGAAGGAGUAAAACGAAACUAGUGUUGACGUGUCAGAAUAAGAGUCACCGUUUGGGUGUUUGUAACCUUUUAGUUAUUUUUGUUUAUAAUAAACCUGUCAGCAGUCCAGCCGACCCCUUUGUCCUCUUCCUUCCAUCCCACGAACUUUGCUACACUGGUGCCGAAACCCGGGAGGAAGUAGGACCGUCGCCGCCACCAUAAAAAGUCCGGCCUCCACGCCGCUUGCGGAUAUCAUCGCCACCCUCAACAACACCAGGCCCUGCUGGACCUGAGGACUGAUCAGGAGAGGCGUUUCCAGGCCAUUGUCCAGGCCCAGCAGGAGGAC